CCUGACAUAGACAGCUCUUAGCUUAAUCAAUAUUAACAAAUAACAAUUAUCACUGAUCUCACCAAAAUAUUUAUGUAAUUUCAUUGUUCUUCCUGGAAAGGAACCUCGCAGCAAAGUCGCAGCUGCUGCAUUCUUUGUGGUUGUUCCUGAUUUUUUAUGUGGUGAUCCAGUUGAUCUAAGCAAGCCUGAUUUUGAUAGCCACGGUGAGUUUCUAGAGCAAUGGACAUCACCAUUUGUGGGAUGUCAUAGGAGUCAAAUCCAUGAGUUGGAGAAAAAGACUAGGUGACAGUCUUCCUACAUCUGUCGGACAAAGGACAUGAAGAUGCGAAAUUGGUAAUUGCUGCUCUAAGAAGUAAAGGCAUGAAUUCCAUUGGUGCUGCAGGUUCUUGAUGGGGAGUGAGUCAUUCUCCCCCAUAGCUACGAACUUGCUCAAGUUGGAACAAGCACAAAUCUAAGACAGAAAAUUUAACGAGGUGAAGAUUCCAGUUGCUUUUCUGGGAGCUGAAAUUGACCGUGCUUCCACACCAGAACAAUUGAAAUUCAUCUGCAAAAUCUCAGGUGAUAGGUCCUCAGUCUCAAGAUUGAUGAUUGUCCCAUAGAGGUUCUAUGUUUUAAGGAGAUAAUGUUUUUUUAGUUUUUUUAAACUCUUUUCAUCUCAUGACUUGGCAAAUAUGAUUUAGCAUUUUGGAUUCAAGUCUCUUUGAUAUUUCUAUGCCACGCAGCGACGAAAAAGCUGAAGAGGACUCACCUGCU